UGGGGAAUAUUGUACAAUGGAGGGAACUCUGAUGCAGCGACGCCGCGUGAACGAAGAAGGCUUUCGAGUUGUAAAGUUCUUUUAUAUGGGAAGAUAAUGACGGUAUCAUAAGAAAAAGCCCCGGCUAACUACGUGCCAGCAGCCGCGGUAAUACGUAGGGGGCUAGCGUUGUUCGGAAUUACUGGGCGUAAAGGGUUCGCAGGCGGAUAUGCAAGUCAGGUGUAAAAGGCAGUAGCUUAACUACUGUAAGCAUUUGAAACUGCGUAUCUUGAGAAGAGUAGAGGUAAGUGGAAUUUUUAGUGUAGCGGUGAAAUGCGUAGAUAUUAAGAAGAAUACCGGUGGCGAAGGCGACUUGCUGGGCUAAUUCUGACGCUGAGGAACGAAAGCGUGGGUAGCAAACAGG
rnacentral:rRNA from 1 species